ACUAGGGGGACCGCCGCCGAUAAGGCGGAGGAAGGAGUGGGCCACGGCAGGUCAGUAUGCCCCGAAUCCCCCGGGCCACACGCGAGCUGCAAUGGCAGGGACAAUGGGUUUCGACCCUGAGAGGGGGAGGUAAUCUCUAAACCCUGCCUCAGUUGGGAUCGAGGGCUGUAACUCGCCCUCGUGAACAUGGAAUGCCUAGUAAUCGCGUGUCAUCAUCGCGCGGUGAAUACGUCCCCGCUCCUUGCACACACCGCCCGUCGCUCCAUCCGAGUGGGGUCUGGAUGAGGCAUGGUCCUUUGUGGCUGUGUCGAAUCUAGGCUCUGUGAGGAGGGAGAAGUCGUAACAAGGUGGCCGUAGGGGAACCUGCGGCCGGAUCACCUCCUAAG
rnacentral:rRNA from 1 species